GGCCAUAUCCAGCUCACAUCUGAGGUAAAAUCACCGGUUCCCCCAUUGGCCCCGCUCACUUUUUUGUGUAAUUCUAGCGCAUCUAGGUUAUGUGCAUUAGCUUUCCAUACAAAGGGGGAAAUGAAAGGAAUGUGGCAGCCUCAAACCUUGGUUAGAUCAGUUCGUGCAAUUUUCCUUUUUCUUUGUGUACAGAUUUUAUUUUUAAUAAAAUUCUAGUAUGUAGUUCACCGAAAUGAAACAAAAUAGCGUGCUAUGGCAAAAUAGCGUCCCCUUGAAAUAUGCUAUUAGCAUGCUAUAUCACGCCAUAGCGUGCUAUUAGUGAGACAUUGUAUAUUGAUUUAUUUAGCGAGACAUUGCUCACAACACUAUAACAUGCUAUUAGCGACACUAUAACGCUUUUUCACUGAGUUCACCUACUAUUUCCCUAAAAAAAUAGCAUCAUCAUGUGGUUCAUCAGGGUCGGCUGGUAGUCCCUACCCUCUCGGACCUUGCGAUUAAUUAGUUAGGAUCCACAGAGGCACGAUUAAUUAAUUAGUUAAUUACGAUCCGCAAUCUUCCCAUAGAGUUUUUUGUGUGUGAUACUAUCUCCCAUGUUCAGGGUCUCUGUCAGCGUCGUUCAUUGUCAAUAAAGACAGUGAGAGAAGGGCAAUAUUGGCAUUUCAUAAAGUUGGUAUAUAUACAUAGUUCAUGUCAAUUAUAACUCCAAUCGAUCAGACAAAACAUUCGGAUGAGAUGUAGGCAUCAGUCCACUUGCUUUUUAUCUAUAGUGAUAUUAUAAUCAAAUUCUCUGUAUUUAACAGCAAGUUGCUAGCGUGUUGAACUUACUUGACCCACAUUGUCACAUUAAUUGAGAAGCCGUUGCUACAGUCCUACGACAGUUUUAAAUUUGAAUUUUAUUUUUGCCGGGUACACGGCACUACAAGACCACUGUCCCCUUUUACCAGAACAGACACCAAAAUACAUAUACAACCUAUGACAUCUCAAACAGGUUCAGUUAUAAUUUUCUGUUCGUUGCAACGAAGGCGAUAGCCAAAAUCUAAGACACAAAAAGUGGAACUUAAGAACAUGGUCUGCAAUGAACAGCAAAACGCAAGCAUACUACACACUGCGUCUCACACAAAAUCAGGUUUUCCUUACAAUGAAGGUUCGGGUUUUUACACGUUGCAGAACAUGCAAUUGCCAAAUAGACAGGUUUUUUUUAUGGAAACAAGUUCGUGCACUGGUGUACACAUGUAAGCAGUGCUUCCUUUAUUCGUAACAUAAUCAACUCCUAUAGGCAUCAAAUAGACAGGUUCCUUAUUUGAAGCAAAACCAGAUCAGGUCCUAAUGUUGCACUUUCACAUUCUACCCUGCAUACAAACACAAAAUCGUUCGAAUUACAAUUCAUGCAAAUCAAGUGAAAAUACAAAUGAAAAAAAUGUAUUUACUUUGCUUAUGCUAAGACCAUAAGUACUGAUAUAAGAUAGUAACAUAAACUGAGAAACGGUUUUGAUCGGCAAACAGGCAUGUGUCCAUGUUAUUAAGGUGGAGUAUAUGACAAGUCUCUAAAUGCAAUAUUUCUACAUAUAAUCAAAGGUGAAGUGGUACCACCAGUACUCAGUUUAUAGAUGGACAAUCCAUGAGAAACAUAAUUGACAGCUUGUCAGCACUUUUGUGACUACGAGAUGAUAAUGAUGAAAGGGAGGCCAAAAGACUUACAAAAUAUUUUCUCCUUGUGUUUGCUAGGAGGAAAAUGUUGGAGCAAAGUAGGGAACAAAUCUCCCCGAGCUACUCUGGUUCCACCAUUCUUCGCUGCAAUCUAUCUUGAUCAUACUCUGCUUGUACUUUUGAUUUUGGAUAUCCUUCAUCUCAUUGCACCGGGUUACACAAAUAUAGGACAAUUCUUCGAAUUCACAAGCUUGAUUGCAUAUCACGGAUAGCUUUGGCAGAUCUUCCAAUUUAAGCUUUUUCAACCAAGAGAAAAUUAUUGUCGCUGUUUGAUGCAUGCUGCCACCUUGCGGCAACUCUCCAGUGGCAAUCAAACUUUCCAUGUCCUGGCAUUGUGCAACUGUGAGCUGCUCAAGGCGCUUAAGGUGAUGAACCCAUGUCACAUCUUUCAGUUUGUCACAUUUAUAGAUGCUAACAACUCUGAUGUUCAUCCCUGCAUUUUUCCAUACCACUUUCUCUAGCUUUAGAAGAUUGUUCAAUUCAAACAUUUCUAGGUAAGGAAGCAGACAUUGGUUGUAAUUAGGACCACCUUCAACUUCCAAUGCCUUCCGACUGUGGAAGCUCGCCACAAUAGCCAACUCUCGCAGUUCUUUUAGUCUGGAUAAACAUUACAAGUUAAUAACAGUCAGAUCACUCUUGUCUUCAAAGUGGUCCAUGCAAAGUGCCUGUGUACAUACCCUUUUCAAACGCACCAAUUUUGUUAUAUCUGCUAUGGUCUGCACACUAAAGCCAAGCAUAUGCAGUUCUAUGGUAGAGUUUGUUAAUUCCUCCAGAAGCAUAUGCUGAGCCGGAGGGAAACUGACACCGGUACGAAAAAGGUCCAACCCUUGAAGCCUUUUUAGGUCCAACAAUAGUCCUUCUGUUAUUGUUUGAAGACCAAUGUUAUUUCUGACGUACAGAUACUUUAGUUUCAAGAGCUUCUUCAGUUCUGGAGGCAGGACGUCUAUAGUUGUUGCAGAAAGAUUGAGAUGUUGCAGCUCGGUCAGUUCACAUAUCUCAAAAGGGAAUCGGUCUCUUUUCGUCCCCUCCAAGUCUAAAAAAGUUAUCUUCUGAAAGUAACGAAUGAUCAGUUCAAGGGAGAACCCAUGUUGAGCCACCAACAUCUCCAGCUGUGGGAAAUAAACCUUGGAAGACCAUUGACCCCAUCUUGAUGUGUCUUCCUGUGAUACCCAGGCCUUCUCCACCGUGCCCCAUUUCUCUUCGGCUAAGGCUGGUCUAUAUGAAGAAUUUGGUAACCAUUUGUUCUUGUAUCCAUGUUCAUUCACAAUCCAGAUAGCCACCAUACGGAUCAUGUUGUGCAUCUUGACAUGUGAACUUUCUGUAGACUCAAGGCCAGUGUCACCUUUCUCCAACAUGGAUGCAUUUACCAAGCUAUUAAUGUAUGAAUAGCCCAUAUCACUAGCAUUAGACACAUCUAACAAACCAAGUCCUGUCCACCACCUUAUUAGUUUCUCCAUGGAUAUGUUACCAUUUUCAGGCCAUAAUGAGCAUAAUAAAAAAUGCUCCUUCAUGUCACUUGUCAUUUUAUCGUAACUUUCUUGUAGACGUUUGAAUAGAUCUUCAUGGCUACCAGUAAAUUGAUGGAGCUUUGAUUUCUUCAAUAGAUCUCUGGUGGUUCUCCAUUCCCUGGGAUCUUUCAAGACCGACACAAAUUUACCAAUUUUGCAUAAAGCCAUUGGUAAACCGCAGCACUCCUCAGCUAUCUGUUGACAAGUUUCAUAUAUCAGUUCAAAUAGUUGUAGGAAAUGGACUGGUACAGGUUCAUGAGAAAAAGUAUACAUACACAAUUAGAAAAAAAAUUGAAAUAAGUCAUAGUAAUAUAAUAUGAUACAUACAUGUACUUGCAAAAUUUGCAGAAAACAUGAUCAUAUGUGAGUUAUACAAAAAAACGAUUGCAGUAAUCUUUUGUAAUGCAACUAUGGACUUUUUGUGGUGCAUAUAUAGGCGUAUCUAUGUAUGGAAUAUAUUCACAUGUGCAUUGCACUUCCCUAUGUUAUAUAGUACCAUGAAUUGUUAUUUUAAAUUUAAAAGCACUUGACUAAACCCAAAUGGUUGUAGAUACACAUGGUUGUUCGAAACCCACCAUUUGCAAAAGUAAAUUUGGCAGCUAGUUACUACUGCACCACAUAUAAAUUCUCUCUCUUCAUUUUUGUAUUUUUAGAGUUCACCAAAAUUGUGAAAGAAAUCACUGAUGUAUCCAUGCUAUGUAUACUAUGAGCACAUACAAAACUUCAUGCAAAAAUCUGAUCAUGUGUAACCUACACAUGCAUGGCAACUAGUUGUACAAUAUAUGCCUUCACAUUUACCCAUAUUUGUAAUAAUACUAACUUUUCUGGGCUUUCUUAUGUAGUCGUAAAUGAUUGCAGGUCCAGCUGUUCUGAUGCAAAAUCAAUUCAUUUAAGGUUGCAUCUUUUUCUUACAUAGUGUAGACAGCAUAUACUAGUUCAAUGGUAGCAUCGCCUCCAUAGGCAAGAAAGUCCCCAAACAAAUAUUAACAAACUAUCAUAUAAUUAAAGCAUAAACUUAGCAUGUGUUAAUUAUGUUUUCUCAUUGUUUCUUUAAUUAUAUGGUAGGAUUUGGUUGGCUCUUUCAUUGCUCAAAUGGAUCUGGAACUAUUUAUUCGAACAUGCAAUCAUGUCGUACUAACCUCUUUUGCAAGUUCAUGAAUUUCCUCAUCAUCAUAGAUUUUACUUCCCACCUUCUGAGUGAAGAGAUUCCAUGCGUCUUGUUUACUCAAGCACUUCAUUUGGAUGGUAUCCUCGGGGCAGCAGCAUCCCAUCUUGCUACACACGUACAUGCUUCUUGUCGUGAAGACAACUUUACGUCGGUGUGGCUGUGCUGCAUCAAGCGACGGGAUGCCUACAUCAUCGAGAUCAAGAUCAUCCCAUAGAUCAUCCACCAACAAUAAGAAGCUCUUAUCUCUGAGGUGGUUAUGAAUGAUAUGUGCUUGGGAAAUUUGGUUUCCUAUCUGAGGUAUUGCUAUACUAAUGGCGAUAGCUUUUUGCAAAUCUGCAACUGUAGUGAAUCCCUUGACAGCUUGAACAAACAGUACUUUGGCGAAAUCAUCAUGGUACUUUGAACGAGAAUCACUUACCAGAUUGAUAAGGGUUGUCUUGCCCACACCUCCCAUGCCCCA
rnacentral:lncRNA from 1 species